rnacentral:lncRNA from 1 species
AGAAGUCGAAGGAGGAUCUGAAGGAAGUGACCCACAAGGUUUACUUUGAUGUCGAGAUAUCUGGAAAGCCUGCUGGUAUGCUGUUUAAUUUGCAUUAAUUUUGUUAAUCCUUAGAACAAAUUCGACCCAUUUGCUCAAAAUUCAAUUGGAUUAAGGGACUUUAAUCCCAGAUUUGAUAUUGAUUUCCGGUUAAUAUGAUAUAUGAGCUCAAUUGGGAGCUGAACGCCGAUAGGUGAUCAUUUGUGUAGAGGUGGAUGUGUUUCUGUGGAGUUGGAGAAAUGUUUAUGUGCAUAGAGUUUUGCAAAUGAAAAUUUGGGUGCCCUAGUUUGAUGAAUUAUUGGGAUUUUUUUUGGUGGUGGUGCUUUUUGUUUCUGGCUAAUCGGUAUUGAUACUUGUUUCGAUCACUGUGUUUCAGGACGGGUUGUGAUCGGUCUCUUUGGGAAGGCGGUUCCCAAGACUGCAGGUAUUGAAUAAUAUUACUAUCAUUUUGUGGGUUCUAUGUGUUAAACUAAGUCUAACAAUUUCAGAACAUUACUAAUUCAUUCCUUUGGUGUUUCAGAGAAUUUUCGAGCUCUUUGCACAGGUAACCAGUUACUCAUCUUCGUUUCCUCGUAUUAAGUUUAGCAGUUGAUAUGUAGUGUCUACUUUUUGGGGUUUAUCAUCAGCAAUGUAUAUGAAAUGGUCCUUGCUCGAGGCCUUCAAGUUCAGUAACAACUCAAUAAUUAAAAUGGAAGGAUGCAAAUAUUUAGUUGCUACGUACAAAUUUUCUGCAUACUGCAUUAGAACACAUUGAUUAGAAAGUUGUAAGAGUCGACAAUGUUUAUAAAGUUUUGAGCUUUUUUGCCCAAAUAUUUCAGGGGAGAACGGCGUUGGAAAGAGUGGAAAACCUCUCCAUUUCAAGGGUAGCAAAUUCCACAGGAUUAUACCCAGUUUCAUGAUCCAAGGAGGUGAUUUCACACUAGGUGAUGGAAGAGGUGGAGAAUCAAUUUACGGAGAGAAGUUUGCUGAUGAGAAUUUCAAGCUAAAGCAUACCGGU